AAUCCAUAGGUUAAUGAGGCGAACCGGGGGAACUGAAACAUCUAAGUACCCCGAGGAAAAGAAAUCAACCGAGAUUCCCCCAGUAGCGGCGAGCGAACGGGGAGGAGCCCAGAGCCUGAAUCAGCAUGUGUGUUAGUGGAAGCGUCUGGAAAGGCGCGCGAUACAGGGUGACAGCCCCGUACACAAAAGCGCAUGUGCUGUGAGCUCGAUGAGUAGGGCGGGACACGUGGUAUCCUGUCUGAAUAUGGGGGGACCAUCCUCCAAGGCUAAAUACUCCUGACUGACCGAUAGUGAACCAGUACCGUGAGGGAAAGGCGAAAAGAACCCCGGCGAGGGGAGUGAAAAAGAACCUGAAACCGUGUACGUACAAGCAGUGGGAGCACAGGUUUACCUGUGUGACUGCGUACCUUUUGUAUAAUGGGUCAGCGACUUAUAUUCUGUAGCAAGGUUAACCGUAUAGGGGAGCCGGAGGGAAACCGAGUCUUAAUUGGGCGUUAAGUUGCAGGGUAUAGACCCGAAACCCGGUGAUCUAGCCAUGGGCAGGUUGAAGGUUGGGUAACACUAACUGGAGGACCGAACCGACUAAUGUUGAAAAAUUAGCGGAUGACCUGUGGCUGGGGGUGAAAGGCCAAUCAAACCGGGAGAUAGCUGGUUCUCCCCGAAAGCUAUUUAGGUAGCGCCUCGUGAAUUCAUCUCCGGGGGUAGAGCACUGUUUCGGCUAGGGGGCCAUCCCGGCUUACCAACCCGAUGCAAACUGCGAAUACCGGAGAAUGUUAUCACGGGAGACACACGGCGGGUGCUAACGUCCGUCGUGAAGAGGGAAACAACCCAGACCGCCAGCUAAGGUCCCAAAGUCAUGGUUAAGUGGGAAACGAUGUGGGAAGGCCCAGACAGCCAGGAUGUUGGCUUAGAAGCAGCCAUCAUUUAAAGAAAGCGUAAUAGCUCACUGGUCGAGUCGGCCUGCGCGGAAGAUGUAACGGGGCUAAACCAUGCACCGAAGCUGCGGCAGCGAACGUAUCACCCAAGACAACUUUACGGAGUUGACGAUUGACGGAGCGAAGCGACGUCAAAGCGUUCAUUAAAGUCGAGUUGGCUUAGGGAUACGUUCGUUGGGUAGGGGAGCGUUCUGUAAGCCUGUGAAGGUGUGUCGUGAGGCAUGCUGGAGGUAUCAGAAGUGCGAAUGCUGACAUAAGUAACGAUAAAGCGGGUGAAAAGCCCGCUCGCCGGAAGACCAAGGGUUCCUGUCCAACGUUAAUCGGGGCAGGGUGAGUCGACCCCUAAGGCGAGGCCGAAAGGCGUAGUCGAUGGGAAACGGGUUAAUAUUCCCGUACUUGGUGUUACUGCGAAGGGGGGACGGAGAAGGCUAUGUUGGCCGGGCGACGGUUGUCCCGGUUUAAGCGUGUAGGUGUGUGUUCCAGGUAAAUCCGGUUCACUUUAACACUGAGGCGUGACGACGAGGCACUACGGUGCUGAAGCAACAAAUGCCCUGCUUCCAGGAAAA
rnacentral:rRNA from 1 species